AUACACUGUUCUGAACCACAUUUGAGGGUGUUCCCAACUAAGCUUGGUUAGAAUUUAAACUAAUAGGUGGGUGUUCCAUGAGAAGACAGACGACAAUUGGAACUGUAUCAGGCGCAUGUAGCAAACAAGGAUGAAGCUAUAAGGACUCAUUGCCAAGAAAUGUUCCUGGAUACACACCUUCACCUCCUCUCGCAGAGAACUAUUGAUGGG
rnacentral:lncRNA from 1 species